rnacentral:misc_RNA from 1 species
GAAAUGCGAUAAGUAAUGUGAAUUGCAGAAUUCAGUGAAUCAUCGAAUCUUUGAACGCACAUUGCGCCCGGCAGUAUUCUGCCGGGCAUGCCUGUCCGAGCGUCAUUUCAACCCUCGGGACCCCGUUUAGGCGGGGACCCGGCGUUGGGGAUUGGCAUCCAGCCAGCCCCGAAAUCUAGUGGCGGUCCCUCCGCGACCUCCCCUGUGCAGUAGCGAUACCUCGCAGCGGGACAGCGGUCUGACCACGCCGUAAAACCCCCAACUUCUCAAGGUUGACCUCGAAUCAGGUAGGAAUACCCGCUGAACUUAAGC